GUCACCCGGAGGCCCAGGUGCGGAGACCUGGCCGACUCCACCGCGAGGGCCACCUCGCACUUCCACGCGCCACUCGGAAGGCCCAAAGAGCCUAAGCCGCGGAGGCAGCGCGCCCAGCCCGCCACCCGACCAGUCCGUUCCCCGCAGUCACAGUCAGCAGUCCGUGAGACCCGCAACCCUGCAGCCCUCAGCCGCUUGCUACACGUCCGCGUCCCUGUGGCCAAAUAUCGCGAGAUUUCCCUCCGCGGCAGCGCGCUCCGACGGCGGGCCGGCUCUUCGCUAUAGAGCACGGCUCAAGCAAAGAGUGUUCCUUCCACUCAGGCAUUAAUAAGACCUUUCAAAGGUGAACCCGC
rnacentral:lncRNA from 1 species